CACAGGAACGGGAUGAACUCCAGAAAAGUCCUGGUCACGUGGUCUUUCUACCAGCUCUCCGACUGGCCUGUGCUUCCACCACAAAUGAGCCAGGGCUAAUUUGGCAGCACACAUUCCAGCUGAUUCCACCCCCUUCCUGGUGAUUGCCCCAUUUCUUGGUGGGUCAAAUGGAAACUUGGAGAUUGUUUCUUUGCAAAUAUGGAAGAUUCCCCAAACUCACCCAGCCAUCAGUGCCGAAAGAGCACAGCUCACCGCCGACACCUGCGGGCGGGGGCGCCUCGCCCCUCAUCACGUGGGGGACUGCCUUGCCUCCGUCCUUCCUGCGGCAGUGAAGCCUUGCAGGGGUGGGGGGAGCAGGGUGUUGAUUCUAGAACUUGAGAGCCCUUGCUGCACACCAGUGGUGGGCCACAUGCCCAGCUCCAGGCGGCCCACUGCAGCCCAUCAGGGGUGAAUUCCAAAGGAAAAAAAAAUCAGACAAGCUAAACAGAGGGUCAGAUAAAUGAGCUACAGGACAUCUGUUACAGAACAUCACACAGCUUCCAAAGGUACAUCAGGUGAAAAAUAGAAGUAUAUGGUUGUGUUUUGUUUUAUUGGGUUUUUUUCAUAAAUUAUAAAUAAAUAAUUAAAAGCAGGUAACUAGCAGCAGCUGGGAUAAAGUCCCAUGUUCUUUUGGGGGUCCAUUAGGAGACAGAAAAAAAUCAGCAGGGACUUUCAUCUGCAGGGUGAACUCCCCCGCCACCUCCUCCUUCUGCUGUUUCUCAUUCUUCUUCCCAAUAUCUGCUGCUUGCCCACCACCCAUGUCGUCUCUGCAAAAAGAAGCUAUGGAAAAGGACUUUUCAAGGACACUCCCUCUGUUCCUGGUCGGGGCCUGUGCACAACUCCACCAUUUUGCUGUUAGGUGCAGCAGGUGAGUCCGGGGCCGGCAGGACACAGAACCAAGACGCGGAGCCGUCUCCUGCUGCAGUCUGUGAGAACUCCUGUCCAGCCCAGGGCGCUCAACCAGAGUGACCCAGUGAAGGGACUGGACGGGCUUCCCUUCAGCUCAUUUAUCAAACAGCAGCACAGUCACGUUGGAAUUCUACCUUCCUACGCCUUUCCUCCCCUCUCCUCUCCAGAGCAGGCUCUCUUGGCACCACGAGCAGAGAUGUUUGGACACUGGGUCUUUCCCAGGUGAACAGCAAGAGCAGGCAGCGACAUGUGUGGCGGGGGACGUGGCUCCCAGGCUGAGGGCACUGCACCCCAGUGCCCAGCUGAUUGGAGUAUCCUUUAGAAUUACAGAAAGGCAGAGCUAUUCUGGAACCUCCGUGAUGAGAGGGAAAGUUCUAAGAACUGGUAGGAAGAGGAUCCAGUUACAGCAAGCUCAGGAGCAGCUUCCCACCACUCAGGGGCCAGUCCAGCUCUGGGGGAGUCCAGGCAUCCCCACACAGGCUUCUCACCACUCCCAAGAUGGUCUCAACCCUUGGCCACCCCCCUCCUCUCUCCAGAGAGCUGCUCUCAAAGGCCUGAACUGAGAAGGGAAGCAAGAGAGGUGGGUGCAGGUGCAUAAGGUGGUCACUGUCUUCCACAUCUUUCCAGCACCCUCUCCCCAACACCACCACCCAGAAUGAGCUCAGGCCUGCAGCUGUGACUCCUCCCACCCCAGCAGUUGGGCUCCCCUGCGGAUCCCUCCUUAGGGAUCCAGGGAGGCCCCAGCACUGGUAUUGACUUGAAUUUCCCCAGGUGAUGCUAAUGUGCAGCAGAGUUCAGAGGAAGCCUCAGGUGCUCUAAAUGGUGUGCCUCUGAGGGGAGGGGAGGCUGCUGCUCCUCCAGAGACCACCAAUGCAAGUGCUAAGGCUGUCUGCAGCCUGGGGCGACCGGGGGGCGUCAGCCAGGCCCCAUGGUGUGUCCUGAGUUGUUCACAGAUCAUCCUGGCUACUGAGGAUUCCCGGCCCCUCCUCCACCAUCACCACCAACCUUUUUCUUUCAAAAGAGCCUGCUCAAAGCCUCUGAGAGUGCUUCAAAGGGGCCCUCUCCACAGCCAGCACAUGACGCUGGGACGGAAUUCAAAAGGUCCUGGGAAGAGGCAAAACCACGAUUUGAAGGGGAAUUUCUCAUGAGGUGGAAUCUUAGUGCAUGUGGUGAGCUCUUCUGAUGUCAACUCUUCAAAAGAGUAAAGUGCUCCUUCUCCCCCUGGCAGAGUGAGAUGAGCUGCCAGAAACCCAGAGAGGGGAGAAAAAACACUCUUUGUGAUGGAGAAACUGAUAAAUUACCGGAUAGAAUGGGUCCAAUUCUACUGCCCUUAGAUCAGGAAAAUAGAAAUCCUAAUGCUAUUAAUGGAACAGUGGCCAGGAGAAGUAAUGCAGAAUAUGUGGGGAGAGGGGAGGGAUAUUCACAUGAAUCACAUCCUUUCUCUUAAAAGCUUUGAAGAUGGAUUUCCCCUCACGGAGGUGGGGUGGGAGGUUAAAGAGAUAGCAACUGCAUAGUUAGAAGAAAAAGCUUCCCAUUAGCACUGCUUAUAAAUUUUAACGCUUCGAAGGAGGACAAAUUAAGGUUAUCCAAAAAAUAACGAUAACUACCACUAUUUCCAGGGCACAUUUUUUUUUUUUUACUCAAA